rnacentral:rRNA from 1 species
UACGAAGGGGGCUAGCGUUGCUCGGAAUCACUGGGCGUAAAGCGCACGUAGGCGGAUUGCUAAGUCAGGGGUGAAAUCCUGGAGCUCAACUCCAGAACUGCCUUUGAUACUGGCGAUCUCGAGUCCGGGAGAGGUGAGUGGAACUGCGAGUGUAGAGGUGAAAUUCGUAGAUAUUCGGAAGAACACCAGUGGCGAAGGCGGCUCACUGGUCCGGUACUGACACUGAGGUGCGAAAGCGUGGGGAGCAAACAGG